rnacentral:tRNA from 1 species
GGAGAGAUGGCUCAGUUGAGAGCACUGGUUGCAUUUCCAGAGGACCUGGGUUCAAUUCCCAGUACCUACA